rnacentral:lncRNA from 1 species
GUUAUUGAGUCAUUAACCAAGGCCUCUUCCCACAGGGUCAGCCAGGUACUGAGGGGAUGAAAGGACAAAAAGGUGAUAUAGGUCCUCCUGGUCCUCCUGGUCCUGUGAUGACAGCUCAUGGAUUGAGACAGCUCUCUGGAACUGUAAGUUUACAAGUUGAAUUGUGUUUAAAGGGAGGCUUUGUUUUCCUCAAUGACUGCACUGUUUAAUUUGAUGUGUUUUCUCCUGUGUUAAAGGAUGACAUGAAGGACACAACCAUGAAAGGAGAGAAGGGAGAUAAGGUAA